rnacentral:rRNA from 1 species
UACGGAGGGGGCUAGCGUUGCUCGGAAUUACUGGGCGUAAAGCGUGCGUAGGCGGCUUUGUAAGUCAGAGGUGAAAGCCCGGGGCUCAACUCCGGAAUUGCCUUUAAGACUGCAUCGCUUGAAUCAUGGAGAGGUGAGUGGAAUUCCGAGUGUAGAGGUGAAAUUCGUAGAUAUUCGGAAGAACACCAGUGGCGAAGGCGACUCACUGGACAUGUAUUGACGCUGAGGUACGAAAGCGUGGGGAGCAAACGGG